AGCGAACGCUGGCGGCAGGCCUAACACAUGCAAGUCGAACGAUCCUUCGGGAUAGUGGCGGACGGGUGAGUAACGCGUGGGAACGUGCCCUUUGGUUCGGAAUAACUCAGGGAAACUUGAGCUAAUACCGGAUGUGCCCUUCGGGGGAAAGAUUUAUCGCCAUUGGAGCGGCCCGCGUUGGAUUAGCUAGUUGGUGGGGUAAAGGCCCACCAAGGCUACGAUCCAUAGCUGGUCUGAGAGGAUGAUCAGCCACACUGGGACUGAGACACGGCCCAGACUCCUACGGGAGGCAGCAGUGGGGAAUCUUGCGCAAUGGGCGAAAGCCUGACGCAGCCAUGCCGCGUGAAUGAUGAAGGUCUUAGGAUUGUAAAAUUCUUUCACCGGGGACGAUAAUGACGGUACCCGGAGAAGAAGCCCCGGCUAACUUCGUGCCAGCCGCCGCAGUAAAAC
rnacentral:rRNA from 1 species